rnacentral:rRNA from 1 species
AGCUUGCUUCUUUGCUGACGAGUGGCGGACGGGUGAGUAAUGUCUGGGAAACUGCCUGAUGGAGGGGGAUAACUACUGGAAACGGUAGCUAAUACCGCAUAACGUCGCAAGACCAAAGAGGGGGACCUUCGGGCCUCUUGCCAUCGGAUGUGCCCAGAUGGGAUUAGCUAGUAGGUGGGGUAACGGCUCACCUAGGCGACGAUCCCUAGCUGGUCUGAGAGGAUGACCAGCCACACUGGAACUGAGACACGGUCCAGACUCCUACGGGAGGCAGCAGUGGGGAAUAUUGCACAAUGGGCGCAAGCCUGAUGCAGCCAUGCCGCGUGUAUGAAGAAGGCCUUCGGGUUGUAAAGUACUUUCAGCGGGGAGGAAGGGAGUAAAGUUAAUACCUUUGCUCAUUGACGUUACCCGCAGAAGAAGCACCGGCUAACUCCGUGCCAGCAGCCGCGGUAAUACGGAGGGUGCAAGCGUUAAUCGGAAUUACUGGGCGUAAAGCGCACGCAGGCGGUUUGUUAAGUCAGAUGUGAAAUCCCCGGGCUCAACCUGGGAACUGCAUCUGAUACUGGCAAGCUUGAGUCUCGUAGAGGGGGGUAGAAUUCCAGGUGUAGCGGUGAAAUGCGUAGAGAUCUGGAGGAAUAC